CCUAGGCAGCCUUCAGGGGCAAAUGAAGCUACAUAUCGACUAGAAGAGGAUUUGAGAGAAGGGAAGGGAAGCCAAGGCAGGAACUCAAGCAGGAACUUGGAGGCAGGAACUGAAACAGAGACCACGGAGGAACGAUGCUUACCGGCUUGUUCCCUGUGUCUGCUCAGCGACCUUCUGUAUAUAACUCAGGCCCACCUGCCCAGGGGUGGCACUGCCCACACUGGGCUAGACCCUCCUCCAUCAGUUAACAACCAAGGAAACACCCCACAGACACAUGCCUGUAGUUCAGUCUGAUGGAGGCCAUUCCUCAACUCAGGUUCUCUCUCCUCCCAGGUGUCUCUAGUUUGUGUCAAGUUGAAUCCCUUCUCUUGAUAUUCACUCUCCCUCCUGUCCUGUGUGGAGGCUGGGGCAUUGACAAGAUGGCUUCAUGACCUCUCCUCCUCAUCCUUGUGAUCUGCAGAAGUGUUGGACCUCUUUGAUCUCCAACUUGAAUGGAUUUGGUGCCCGUUGCAGCAAAGGAAAACUUCCAGACCCAAGGUUGGAGCUAGUGGCGACGCCGCUGCAGACCUCUCCAGGGCCCGGCGAGGGGAGGGUGCAAAGGGGCCUGGCGGCCUCUGGCGGUCAGACUAGGGAGACCUCGGCUUGGAAGCUGGAGGAGCGGCGCGCGCUGGGGCUGACACGGGUCAGCAUGGACACCUGUGUGCUGCACGUGGCGCCGUUGCUGCCUCCCCACGGGUGCUGAGAUUUGGAGCUCCAGCCCAGGACGCCCUGAAGAUGCCAACGCCGCCACUUCCGCCGCAGCUCCGCCUGCACCUAAGGCGGAAAGGGUGGUGGUUAGGCACCAUACUGCGGAGUUCCAGCACAGCCUUGAUAAGCUAACCAUAGAUAAAUCCCUAGCUUAAAUUGA